GGAACAAUGAAGAAAAUCCCUGGAAUGAGAAAUCAAUUAGACAAUGCUAAAGAUUCUCAAGAUUUAAGGUUUCUUUUCUCAGAUGAAUUUAUAAAGAGAAGAACCGAGGUGUUCCUGAACAACAUUAAUAAAACAGUAGCUGAAGGUCAACCUGCUGCUAAUGUGAAGCUGGUCAACCUGGAUACUGGAACUCAAGUAAACAUCCUGGAUUAUGCCAAAGCUGGUCGUAUCCUUGUUGUUAAUUUUGGUUCCUGUACCUGACCCCCAUUCAUGGGGAGCCUCUCUAAAUUUAGCGGUAUCAGAGCUAGGUUUGGGAGCAAAGUUGAUUUCAUCACUGUUUAUAUUGAAGAAGCUCAUCCAAGUAACAAGAACCAUUUUAGGGGACAUAUUGAGAUUGAAACUCAUCAAAAUUUGCAGGACAGGAUGGAGGCUGCAAGGUUUCUGAGGUCAGAGGCUGGUGAGGACCUAGCUGGAUGUCCUAUUCUGGUUGAUAGGAUGGAUAAUGCAGCACUCCAUGCUUAUGCAUCUUACCCGGAACGUCUCUACGCAGUUUUGGAUGGAGUAGUUGUUUAAGAGGGGGGAAUGGGUCCAUUCAACUAUGAUCUAGAAGAUUUGGAGAGUUUUCUUGAAGAAAAACUGAAAUUUGAGAAUUUAAAAGCACGUUAAAAAAGGGUGUUUUGAACGGGUAAAUAAAUGUGGAAAAAUGCAAGAUUAGGUUGAAAAUCUUUGGAUCAACUAAUCUGAAUGAUGUUCCAUUUAUUUAAGCUAACUAAUAAAACUCUUAAUAAAGCAUA